GGCGUGGUCAAGCGAGCUGUCUAGCACGUGCAGACAAUGCACUAUCAUCAAUACAAGCCAAACAUCCGAGCGCUGAAAGUUUUGCGCUUUUGGAUUAUAACGACAAAACGGGAUCACGCCUCAAUGGACUUUCACGCGUUUUAGAUAAAACUCUUCGUGGAUAACUUCCUGACAUAGGUUCUUGUGUGAGAGCUGAGGCCUUUCCCAGACACAACCGAAACCAGAGGCUGUGGUUGAUUUCAUGACUUCCUCCUCAUUGUUUGCCUGUCUGUGUGACUGGGAACCGGCAGUGACAGACAGAUGACUCUGGUCACUCUUAAACCAGGCUUGUGGAGAAACUGGACCUGGCUCCCCUUUAGAAGUAGUGAUUAAUCAAGGCCGACGGCAGAGUGCCAUGCUUUUCCCACACAUCUGAGGCAGCGUAACCUGUCAUGCUGACCUUGUUGCUCAACUCUGCUUUCAGCACGAUGUCCAAAUUAUACCAGCACACUGCUGCCAAGUUGCUGAAGUGGUUUACUCACAAUCCUGCACCCAGUGGUCACUUUGGAGUUCAGCGGCAAAGAGCAUCAAGGAAGCAUUACCACAUCACUCACAGUUCAGCUCUCCGACGUUGCCCUGACCUCCUGAACCUUGACUUUACCUGACCUCUCUUUAGACUCUCGGUUUAACCAGCUCAGCGUCUCUCAGUAUCAGAGCACUAUGGAAUCCCAAUGAGCUCUGAUGACACAGGAAUAUAAUUGUACAGGACGUAUUCAGACAAACAUCCCUACGCCAUUCCUAAUUCUCAGCUCCUCCUCUUCGGCACGUCGGACAGAGGAUGUGGAGAGGAGCGAGGGGUGAGGAAUGUGAGAAGAGAGGAGGAGUGGGAACGAGGGGGCACUUUGAGCUUCAUCAGAAGUUGAGCUGGAAGAGGAAGCCGCCAAUGUGGGGAAAUAAACAGAGUCUGAAGUGGCUUAACCAGGUUUUCUAAUCUGAAAAUCCCCUUUGUUUAGUGGGAUGCUGUUAGGUGUUUAAUUGGUCCGCU
rnacentral:lncRNA from 1 species